rnacentral:lncRNA from 1 species
GUAUUUGAAGUUUCUAGAAAAUAUUUUUUGCGAUUUUUUGAUAUCAUUUACCUAGCAAUCGAAAGGAUUCAAAAUCAAUAAUUUUUAACGGCUGAAAAUAAAAAUCCUAUAAAAGUGGUGAUAUAGCAUUCAAAUUUUCGAUCAGAAAUAUUGAUCUUGUUGUAGAUAGUAUAAAGAAUUUUGUAUCAAAAUUUCAUCUGAUUUUAAUACUUCUACACCGUUAAACUUGAAAACGGCAGAUAUCAACCAUUAAAAAUUAUUGAUUUUGAAUCCUUUCUAUCACUAGGUAAAUAAUAUCAAAAAAUUGCAAAAAUUAUUUUUUAGAAACUUCAUAUACCCUA